rnacentral:lncRNA from 1 species
GUCUCAGGGGAACACAGAGGUGCACCUAAACUUGCUCUUGGUCUCUGCAGAGGUACAUGUGGUUUAACAUUGGCAGUGUUGACACCUUUGAGCAGAACCUGGAAUCUGCUCAGUGGGAACUGGGGAUUGAGCCAACCAACCAGGUUGCUGUGGUCUACACCACUGAGAGUGACGGCUCUUUCCUGCGAAGCCUGGUACCUACUCUUCUCCUGGUUGGCAUCCUGCUCUAUGCUGUGAGAAGGGGUCCAAUA